rnacentral:rRNA from 1 species
GUUGCCGCAGGCCUCCUGGGUAACCUACCACCCUUUGUUUAUUACACUUUGUUGNUUUGGCAAGCCUGCCCUCGGGCUGCUGGCUCCGGCCGGCGAGCGCUUGCCAGAGGACCUAAACUCUGUUUUUAGUGAUGUCUGAGUACUAUAUAAUAGUUAAAACUUUCAACAACGGAUCUCUUGGUUCUGGCAUCGAUGAAGAACGCAGCGAAAUGCGAUAAGUAAUGUGAAUUGCAGAAUUCAGUGAAUCAUCGAAUCUUUGAACGCACAUUGCGCCCCGUGGUAUUCCGCGGGGCAUGCCUGUUCGAGCGUCAUUUAGACCAAUCAAGCCUGUGCUUGGUAUUGGGGUUUGCGGUUCCGCAGCCUCUGAACGCAGUGGCGGUGCUAUUGAGCUCUGAGCGUAGUAAAUCUCCUCGCUAUAGAGUCUCGGUAGUUACUUGCCAACAACCCCCAACUUAUCAAGGUUGACCUCGGAUCAGGUAGGGAUACCCGCUGAACUUAAGCAUAUCAAUAAGCGGAGGAAAUC